AUACGUAGGGGGCAAGCGUUGUCCGGAAUUAUUGGGCGUAAAGGGCUCGCAGGCGGCUUCUUAAGUCUGAUGUGAAAUAUUGCGGCUCAACCGCAAGAGGUCAUUGGAAACUGGGAGGCUUGAGUAUAGGAGAGGAAAGUGGAAUUCCACGUGUAGCGGUGAAAUGCGUAGAGAUGUGGAGGAACACCAGUGGCGAAGGCGACUCUCUGGCCUAUAACUGACGCUGAGGAGCGAAAGCGUGGGUAGCAAACAGGAUUAGAUACCCUGGUAGUCCACGCCGUAAACGAUGAGUGCUAGGUGUUAGGGGUUUCGAUACCCUUAGUGCCGCAGUUAACACAUUAAGCACUCCGCCUGGGGAGUACGGCCGCAAGGCUGAA
rnacentral:rRNA from 1 species